CCAUUUCAGAUGCUGAUUGGACAUGGUUGAGUUCCACUUCUGCUGCCAUCCUGAAAGCUCCCUACCAACACAAACAUAAUCAGACAUUGCAGAAGAAUGACCAGUGGACCAGAAUAAAAGAGGAAGACAAGAGAACGGAGGAUUACAAAGGAAACAAUUACGAGGUUUGCAGAAGAAGGAGUAGGCAAAAAAACUGAAAACCAACACUGCAGAAUAACACACUACUGCUUGGAUGCAGCCUUGAACUGCCAAAGAUCAGUCGCGUUCAAUGUGCAAGAAUAAGGAAGGUGCCAACAACUCUAGGUCUACUGACUCCCCACCCAUGUCUUGUCUUGUGAUAUUAUGCAAGGGCUGAAAGAGCCACUUUUGCUUAACUGUAUAGAUUAAAAUGAUACAUUUAAUAUUGUCCUUUCCUAAGGCUCUAAACAUGUACAAUGGUAAUUGAUAGUUGUGUCGCAGGGCAGAGAAAAAGGUGUCUGACCAGAUUUUUCACU